rnacentral:rRNA from 1 species
UACGGAGGGUGCAAGCGUUACUCGGAAUCACUGGGCGUAAAGGGUGCGUAGGCGGCCUAGCAAGUCUGGUGUGAAAGCCCAGGGCUCAACCCUGGAAGGGCACUGGAAACUGUUAGGCUUGAGUUCCGGAGAGGAGGGGGGAAGUCCCGGUGUAGCGGUGAAAUGCGUAGAUAUCGGGAGGAAUACCGGUGGCGAAGGCGCCCCUCUGGACGGAAACUGACGCUGAGGCGCGAAAGCGUGGGGAGCAAACAGG